UACGUAGGGGGCAAGCGUUGUCCGGAUUUAUUGGGCGUAAAGCGCUCGCAGGUGGUUCGAUGCGUCGUGCGUGAAAGACCCCGGCUCAACUGGGGAGGGUCGUGCGAUACGGUCGAACUGGAGGCCGGUAGGGGGACGCGGAAUUCCCGGUGUAGUGGGUGGAAUGCGUAGAUAUCGGGGAGGAACACCAGUGGCGCAGGCGGCGUCCUGGACCGGCACUGACGCUGGAGGAGCGAAAGCGUGGGGAGCGAUCCGG
rnacentral:rRNA from 1 species